UGUCAACUGUAAACAACGAAACCGUCUUGGAAGAUAAUCACCGUCGAGCCGUUCAAACCGAGUAUCGUCACCUCAUCUUGUUAAAUCUCGGUCGAUCGUAUCGCAACGCGUGACAUAGUACUUGCGCCAAAGGGAUCUAUUGCACAAAAUAUUUUCCGUUUACAGCAGAACAAAACUAUAGGAACGCCAAGUAAUAGCUGUGGCUAGGAACGUUACAAUACUACCGAUAUCAAUAAAGUAUCGAUACUUUUCUUUCGAUACAAGUACUUUUUUUAACGAUAAAAUGGUUUCGAUACUUUACUCAUAUAGAUAAAAAAAAUACUUGUAUCGAAUGAAUAGUAUCGAAUCAUUUACUAACCGCCAUAUUGUUUCAAAAAUCAAAAGUACUCGAAUGCUGAAAUCUAGGAGCCGAUUCAGAGUGAAACGAACUUACGAUAAAGAAACACAUGCUUAGUUACUUCCACAAAUACUGUAAACACCCGAAAUCUAGAAGCGUGAAACGAACUUACGAUAAACAAGCACAUACCUACUUAAUCCCACAAAUACUAGUACGUCGU